AGCGCGACCAGCGAUAAACAAAUGUUUCAGUUGAGUUGUGUAAUUCCAAGUAGGAAUGUCAGUGUACUUCGACGUGAUAUCCGAUGGUGCAAAACCUAGAAAUCGGUUUGUGAGGCAGAUUACAGUGCCAGAAAAAUGUCACCGGGUUAUAUGCACAACGAUAACUUCAGUGAGCACAUCAAUUGCAUCAGGAGCAUCCUAGUCAAGACGCUGUCUUCCGAAAAUGUGUCAAAAAGCGACGUCUUGAAAGUGAAACGAUUCGAUAAAAAUUACGGCAAUAACAAAACCACCGUCAAACAUGUAGUUGAUAAGGAAGCAAGAUUGCGCGGAUUGAAAGAGCGUCAAAAUGAAGAAAGGCAGAAGAAACUGGAGGAGUUACGGGCACAAGCACUGGCAGCACAAAGGUUCAAAGAGCAAAAGGAAUUCGAAAGAAGAAGACGCCUAGAGGACAUGAGGGUGAAAGAUGACCAACGCAGGCAUCUGGUCGAAGAAAGGAAAAAAGCCAUAAACGAAGCUGAAAGGGACAGACUGGAAUCGAUUUUACGCAGGAAUCAGGAAAGGGAUGCCAGAAUAGAAGCUAAGAAGCGGAACGAACGAAGUAGCAUAGUUUUUGCGUUUGGCUCUUCUACGCCUCGUAUGCUGGAUCCUACGGACGUGACGGUCUCAUUUUGGGGCCAUAGGAGGGCCACUUCGACUCAGAACAUUACUAUAUCAUCGUCCGGUAGCUCUUUGACCAGAAGACAGUCAGAAAGAGACCUGGACGCUAGCAGUAAGAAAAGAGCUACUUCGGCAGGAGGGCUUGAACGCGCCGCUGAAGGUUUGAUAAGUCCCACGACGCCCGCAGGCUGCGCCAGCGGAUAUAUUGGACGGCGCAGAACAGACUUAGUACCGACAAUCCCUUCGAGAGAUUCCUCUUUUCAUUCGUCCACAUCACGCAAGUCCCUCAACCAUUCGCCAGGUAGGGCGUAUUCGAUGUCUCGCUUAGAUCAACUGGCAAAGCCAAGGAAGCCGGUACUGCCGGCCCUAAACGAGUCAAACAUGGCGCCCAAGAGCUCGGUGACGCGCAGCAUGAGCCAUUUGGCGCACGUAGGUACCAAACUGAGUCCGAGGAAGCCUUUGAGCAAGACGGACAGCCGCAGCAUGCACCAUCUGAGCCCUGAUGCGGCUCACCCGCCCAUAGCUCCGCCAAGGGUCAAUCGAGCCACUCAGCUAAGGCAGCAGAAGUUGCUUUUGGCCCAACAGUCCAGUAGUGCCAGCGAGGCCUCCUCUAGACCGAGUAGUGCUAUGAGCCAACAAAGCACAAAUAGCGUAACAAGUUCAGUGAAUGUUAGACACCGCCUGUCCACUACACCACGCCGACCACGUCCAGCGAGUAUUGCGAUAACUGGAGUUACACACGACAAAAAUAGCAUUGAUAAAGGCGAACAUAAACCUCCCUUGCCUAAAACGAGAAAGCCUUUGUCGAAAACAAAUACUUCUGAAAAGAUCGAGAAGACAAAAACUAAACCUGCUAAAUCUCCUGCCGAAGAAUCAGCACCUAAGAUCACUGCGGAACAGAAAAAAGAAGAUAAAACCGAGAAAAAACAAGAAGUUGGACCCCAAAAGGUACAGCCUUUGCCUCAGAGGGUUGAGGCUUCUCCUCCAGAAAAAGAAUUAGAUGUAUCGCAAGUACAAACUAAGGAGCCAUCACCGCCACCAUUGAUUGCUACACAAGACAUAGAAGCACCAAAGUCUCAGGUUAUAGAAUCCACUGCCCAGCAUCAGGAAGAUCGGAAAGUUACUACAACAGAACAACUGUCCCCUCAGCAAGAUAACAUUAUUCAGAAUUUCAUAGAUUCAGAAAGGAAAGCAGCAGAACAGAUUGUAGGCGUCCAGAAGACGGAUGAAAAUUCAGCUAUCGUAUCUAACAAUGAAAAACAUGAAGAAAAGGAUGAAACUAAAGAUGUGAAGCAGGAUAAUAGCGACACAAUUUCAUCAGAAAUGACUACGUCCAUUUCCAAGCCAAGGAUAACUACAGAAGAGGAAGCUAAGGCUGCUUUAGCUGAAAGGAGACGUCUUAUUCGAGAGGAAGCUGAAAGGCAAGCAGAACUGGAAAGACAACGGAUUGAAGCUGAACAAAAGGCAGAGUUUGAGCGGCAACAAAGGGAAGAAGAGCAGGCAAGGCUCCUUGCUGAAAUGCAAAGGCAAUCCGAGCAAGAAAGGUUACAAGAGGCCAUUAGAGAAGCUCAGAGGCGCGAAGAGGAAGAAAGGUUAAGGAGAGAAGAAGAGGCUAGACAGAAAAUAUUAAAGGAAGAGGCCGACAAAAAAGCUAAGGAAGAGGCAGAGAGGCAGAAGGCUGAACUUCAAAAGAAAUUGGAGAAUGAAGAGAAAGAGCGCGAAGAGCGGAGAAAAAGAGUGGAGAUGAUCAUGUCCAGAACAAGGGGGAAGAACAAUGCUAACUUACCCUCACAGAAUUCUCAAGAUAAAACUAAGCCUGAAAACAAACAGGUGACAGAAGAAGAUAAACUUAAUGAAGAUAACAAAGUUAAUGAGAAUAAAUUAAAUGGAUCUCAGCAAGAGAAUGGGACGAAUGACACUAGCACCAAGAAUGGCAAGGAUAUGGGAAUUGUUGACAAUAUAUGAUAGUCUAAAGAAUGCCAACACUACGGUUACGGACACGUUAAAUUCGGACUCAAUAAACUCAAACAGCGCGUGGCAGCCAACACAGCAGUACGAUUCAUAGAUGUGAGCUGAGCGCAGUUUUAUAUUAUUUAAACGUUAGCUAGAUUAUAUUAGUCCUUGUCCUAAUAUUUUUUAAAGUAAUUUAUUUUGUAUUGACUACGGAAAACGGUUGUAAAUUUGAGGUGAUAGAAUAAAAUAUUUAUAGAGACGGCAACUCGUUCUACCCUUACGUUAAUUGGUUAUAUUCGACUGAGACGGGACAAGGUCCGUCCUGAUGGAAAAACAGCCUUGUUUUGAUCAGUAUUCCGCUUUUUUUCGAUCAGGAGAGUUAUCUUCCACUUUAUUUUUUUUUGUUUAAUUUAACAACUCGGUCUGUACUAGUCAUCUUGUAUGUUAAAUUGUUGUAUAAUGUUAUCUAAUAUACUCUGCUGUUGUAAUAAAACAGUGUAGUUUAACUAAUAUAUUUUUUAUUGCGGUUUUGUUUUAAAAUGCCUGUCUGCAUUUUGAACGUUUUUUUAAAGAAAUCGCCAUUUUGUUGACUUUAUUCGAGCGAUAGAUUAUGUUGAUGGGAAAAGGUCAUUUUUUGUUAGAUUAAAUGAUAUAUUUUCGAUUAAUUACGGAAAAAUUAAACAAGUUAGAAAGUUACAUAGGUUUUGUAUAGCUUUAGAGAAAGAAAAUUAAUUAUAACAAUGACUGUGACAAAUAUUAAUUAGAAUACAUUUUUUCCAUUGUAACUGUCAUUUAUCUUUAUAUAAUUAUAAUAAUAUUGAAUAAAAUUUAUCACGAGGCAAUUAUAGGUU
rnacentral:misc_RNA from 1 species